rnacentral:rRNA from 1 species
UACGUAGGGGGCAAGCGUUGCCCGGAUUUCUUGGGCGUAAAGCGCGUGUAGGCGGCCACGCAGGUCCGCUGUGAAAACUCGAGGCUCAACCUCGAGCUGUCGGUGGAAACCGCGUGGCUAGAGUCCGGAAGAGGGGACUGGAAUUCCCGGUGUAGCGGUGGAAUGCGCAGAUAUCGGGAGGAACACCGGUGGCGAAGGCGGCCAACUGGACGAACACUGACGCUGAGACACGAAAGCGUGGGGAGCAAACAGG